rnacentral:lncRNA from 1 species
GCUUGAUCUCAGCUCAUUGCAACCUCCGCCUCCUGGGUUCAAGCGAUUCUCCUGCCUCAGCCUCCCGAGUAGCUGGGACUACAGGCGCACGCCACCACGCCUGGCUAAUUUUUUGCAUUUUUACUAAAGUAGAGAUGGGGUUUCAUCAUGUUAGCCAAGAUGGUCUCCAACUCCUGACCUCGUGAUCGCCCGCCUCAGCCUCCCAAGUGCUGGGAUUACAGGCUUGAGCCACUGCGCCCAACCCAGAACUAUUUUAAGCAGGCCAAUCUUUGUAUUGUUUGGGCCACACACACGAUUCAGCCAGGGGGUGGGGGGCCUUUCACGUCUCUUCUCAUGGCCCGGGCCCUGUCAGCGGCAUUCACCUGUGUGGUAGGAGCCAUCGGCUGUGGGAACUCUGUGGAAGUGGCUAGCCUUGCACAUCCUCUGAUCAUGUUGACUUCAUCAGGGUGCGAGAAGCACUUGAGCUUGGCGUCGGUGAGUUCCCUAAGCCUCUUUUGCGUGUGUUGCAGCUCAUGCCAGUUACUAUGGGAGAAUGAAUGUGAGAGAGGUUCUCAGAGAGGAUGGCCACCUCAGUGUAAAUGGGGAAGCGCUGUGUAAGUAUGGCUUCGUUUUCCUGUGGGCGUCGGUCGUGGAGUUGGUCCCACACGCUGUCAUGUUGGGUACUAGCAGUAGAGAAUGAACGGCCCGUGUGACAUGGCGGUCCUCACUGAUGACGACGGGCUGUUGGAGCUGCUGCUUAAGCCCUCAUCACAGAAGCUCAUAGCCACCAGAUCGCAUUUGCUUUGAUUGUUGACUGUCUUGUGUGUAAUUGAGUUUCCCAGUUUUUACAGACUGCCAUUGCUAUGCACAGUUGAGAUGGACAGAGUUUGCUUGUGAAUCCGCCACACUCACUGCCUGUCACCACACCCGCAGGCGACGACUGUAAGGGCAAGAGGCACCUCGACGCGCACACAGCCGCCCACUCGCAGUCGCCACGGCCGCCCGGUCGGGCAGGGACCCUCUGGCACAUCUGGGCAUGUGCAGGUUACUUCUUGCUGCAGAUUCUGCGCAGGAUCGGAGCUGCGGGCCAGGCCGUGUCCAGGACGGCGUGGUCGGCCCUUUGGCUGGCCGUGGUUGCUCCAGGGAAGGCAGCCUCUGGAGUGUUCUGGUGGCUGGGGAUUGGAUGGUACCAGUUUGUUACUUUGAUUUCUUGGCUGAAUGUGUUUCUUCUUACCAGUCCCAGGUGCCUUCGAAACAUCUGCAAGUUUUUAGUCUUGCUCAUCCCACUCUUCCUUUUACUAGGUAAGUCAAAUCUGGCUGAGUUGCCUCCGAUGGCUAAGCGGUACACACAUACGUGUAACUUAGUGGAAACAAAUGAGCGUGUAAGUCCGUGUUUUGAGAAGCGUGGUGUACCCGUGUGUGUGUGGUGGUUCUUCUCUUUUAGCAGGUCUCUCCUUACGGGGCCAGGGCAAUUUCUUUUCGUUCUUGCCCGUGUUGAACUGGGCAAGCAUGCAUAGAACACAGCGGGUGGAUGACCCCCAGGACGUGUUUAAACCCACGACUUCUCGCCUGAAGCAGCCUCUG